GAUGAACGCUAGCGACAGGCUUAACACAUGCAAGUCGAGGGGCAGCGGGGAGUAGCAAUACUCUGCCGGCGACCGGCGCACGGGUGAGUAACGCGUAUGCAACUUACCUAUCAGAGGAGAGUAGCUCAUCGAAAGAUGAAUUAAUGCUCCAUAAAACAGGGGUCCCGCAUGGGAAUAUUUGUUAAAGAUUUAUCGCUGAUAGAUAGGCAUGCGUUCCAUUAGGCAGUUGGCGGGGUAACGGCCCACCAAGGCGACGAUCAGUAGCCGGUCUGGAGAGGAUGAACGGCCACAUUGGGACUGGAGAUACGGCCCAG
rnacentral:rRNA from 1 species